rnacentral:lncRNA from 1 species
AUGAGGAUGAGGUAAGGGGGUUGGGAGAGGGAGGGGACAGGUGUAAGUACCGGGUUGGACAAACCCAGAGUACCCACCCUCUGCCCCAGAACUGCACCCCCCAUCCCUCCCCACUCCCACACAGAGACUGCCCAGAGGGUGAGGCCACAGCUUUGGGCCUAGCCUUUCCCUGGGGGCAUGGCCAACCCUGUGGGCUACUCUGAGCCUGCGGGGGGCCUGCAGCAGGGAGCAGGACCCCGUCUCCCCAGCUCAGCCAAGCCCCACGCGGGGCUAACCAGGCUGCCAGGGCCCCCAGCAGAUUACGUAAGGGCUUAUGCCGCCGCGGCUCAUUUGUCCGCCCCCCUCCCUCUCCAGCCUGGCGUGGCGCCAGGAGCCCGAAAACCCAGGGCUCCAGAAAUCAAUCUCGCGGUGACUGAUUAAGCCCUGUUUAGAACUAAUUGCUCUUUCGUGUGUGGGGAGAAUAAAUUACCUGCUUUAAUUUCGUGUCUUUAAAAUGCAACUGCAGGUAGAGAAGACUGUUAACCCUUUGCUGGGAGGGCCUGGCCAGGGGAAACAGAGUAGGCUGGGGUCCCCAAGGUGGGUCCAGGCCUGAGACUUUUCGGAGGUAUCACCCCAACUCCUCUUAGCUGCUGUGAACUCCACAGAGGGUUUGGAUUCCAGCAGGCCCCUCAAAAGACAUCCUUUUGCCACAGAGACCUCAGCCUUCACCCUCUUCAGUGCCCACCUUCAGGCCAGCCCAGCUCUCCUGCCUGCCCUUUGGGCUGCACCCUGCCCUCCUCUCCUGACCCACCUGCCUGCCCUCCAAGCCCCUUGCUGUUGGAGCCUUCUCAAAAUCCCCACAGUGUGUGGCAAAGUCCCCAUUCACACGCCAGAAGACCUAGGCUCAGAGAGAGGAAUGGCUUGCCCAAGGUGGCCUUUUCUGCUGUCCCUCGGUUCCUCCCUGGGCUUCACCUCUGCCAUCUCUCCAUACAUCCUCUUUUUAAUUCUGCUGUGCCAGUCUCCAGUGCUCCCCAUGUCACUGCCUGCUUUUGCCAGGCCUGUUCUGAGGACAGAGGAAGGCAGGAAGUCCACUGGCCCCACUGGAAUCUGGAGUAGAACUUCUGCUGGGCCUGCGGCACCCCACCUCUGGGGCCUCCCACCUGGUGGCCUCAACUUCCUGGUCCAGAGAUGGGGUUUCACCACGUUGACCAGACUGGUCUUGAACUCCUGACCUCAGAUGAUCCACCCGCCUCGGCCUCCCAAAGUGCUGGGAUUACAGCAGGACACCCUCAUUUAUCCUCUGAGUCGGACACUCUCCUUCCUCCUGUGGUGUGGCUGUGUUCUCUGAUGGAGCAAAAGCCGACUGAUCCAGCAGGACGUCAUCUCUACUACAAAGAGGAGGAUUUCUUAUGUUGCCCACGUUGGUUUCAAACUCCUGACCUCAAGUGAUCUUCCUGCCUCGGCCUCCCAAAGUGCUGGGAUUACAGGUGUGAGCCAACUUGCCUGGCCAUCUCUGUGCCAUCUUCUUCUGAUCCUGGGCAGUGGGACUAGGGGAAGUUACCUUUUCUGGGGCACAUUUAGUGGUGUGCUGGCAAAUGUUUAACCACCAGCUCUUCUGGAAGUUAAAAAAAAAACCUACCUGAUUUGAUUUGUAGCUGUUGCU